GGAUUGCUUGAGCCCAGGAGUUCUGGGCUGUCAUGCACUGUGACCAUGAGGUGUCCACACUAAGUUCCACAUCAAUACAGUGACCUCCUGGGAGUGAGGGACCAACAGGUUGUCUAAGGAGGAGUGAAGCAGCCCAGGUCAGAAAUGGAGCAUGUCAAAACUUUCAUGCUGAUCAGUAGAGGAAUUGUACCUGUGAAUAGCCACACUGCAGCCUGGGCAACAUAGCAAGA
rnacentral:SRP_RNA from 2 species